rnacentral:lncRNA from 1 species
CACAAGACAGGGUUGCUGGGGCUCAUAACAGGGCAGCCCCUGGCCCAGACUUGGAAACUAGGGUGAGCUAAGCUGAGAUCAGAAAGAUAAGAACCUCACCAGACUAGGGUGUGGGCACAGGCAGGGGCCAGUGAACAGCAUAUGUAAGAGUCCUGAGGCAGAGCUGAAUUGGAGGACCAGAAAGAAGGCCAGCGUGAGUGGAGUCCCAAGGGAGGAGACAGAGAAGUGGCCAGGGCCAGCCCAGCCUGGAUGGCAAAAGCGACAGACCCUCCCUCAGAGGGACAAGGAUGAGACGGCCGAACCAGUGCUCCUGCCCGGGCUCCACAGGCCCCUUUCCUCGCUGGCCCCACUGGAGAGGCAGGGGUUAAGCUCCAUGGCCUGUCCCCUCUGUCACACAUGUACCCUGCCAUCUCUGGGCUCAACUGUCGCUGCGCUGUAUCGGGACUCCAUCAGAGAGGCUCAGGCAGCAGCUUGCAGUGUUCAGGCCGGCGGUCUCGAGGGUGGCGAGUUCUUGCACUCCUACAACAGCGCUUGAGGACGGCUCUGUCCGCUGGCCUAUGCUGCAGCCUCCUCCUGCCCCUGCGGCAGAGGAGGGAGAGCCGUGGGCACAGCUAGCACUAGCACGUGUGGGUUCAGAGGUCUGAGCGGCCACUUCCCGCUUCCAGACCUCGGAUGCGACGCUCAUCUGCACGGUGUGGGCAGAGAUAACAUCCUCCCCAGAACAGCAUGGAAAUGUUUCAGCAGGGUGCUCGGCUUAGAUAAGUGCUCGGCAAACCAGAGUUGCCAUCAUGAUUCCCCCACGGCCCUCAAUCCUCUCCUCCCUGCAAAGCGUGCAUCCUUUUUUACCCCAUCUUCCACCCCUCCCAAUUUCCCUUUUGGCCUCAUCUUGGAGGCUGUAAGUCAGGGUGAAUCAUUCAUCAAAAUAUCUCACUCUUCCUCUUCCAGGGUUCCUGAUAUAAUUACCUCCCUCUUCGGUUUUGCUCCUGAUCCCUCUUCUGUUUUUUUCUGUGUGAACUUUAUUUUAACCAUCCUUUGUGUCUGUGAAUGUUUUUUUUUUUUUUAAAUCUUGCCAAUGAAAAUAACUUAAUUGCUUUUUCUGGUUUUUAAAGUAACACACGC